rnacentral:lncRNA from 1 species
AAAAUAUAUUAUUGAGAAGGUGACAAGAUGAGUAUGAGGUCAGAAAGAAAAUUAAAAAAAAAAAACAUACUUAUGAUAUGUUGCAAUGGGCACUCCCUCCUCCCUCGUCGGAGUGUGCUUAUGCACAGCCCUUGAUUGGCAUUUCUUUGUGUGUGUGUGUGUGUGUGUGUGUGUGUGUGUGUGUGAAGACCGGUGUGGGAUUACAUCUCUGUCCCCUGCAGCCCCCUGUGUUGUGGCAGCCGUCCAAGGAAGGCGACCGUUUAAUCGGACGGAUCACUCUGAGCAAAGGGACGCCGGUGUCAGAGACUGGGGGACAGCUGGGGCUGAAGGUGAUGAGGUGCUGCUCUGGAAUGGCAAGUCCUUGCCAGGAUCGACAAAGAAGGAGGUCUACAACAUCAUUCUGGAAUCCAAAAUGGAUCCCCAAGUGGAAAUUGUGGUUUCGAGGUCCAUCAGGAUGUGCAGAACAUACGAAGAUGCGCCGAGGGUUCCGGAGGUGUCGCGUGCUCCGUCAGAGUCCCGGUCCGCUUCGCUUGAGUCCCCAGCACGGGAGCGCCUCUCUCAGCCCCCCAGGUCCUUCGCUAGCAACGGGACGCGGAGAGACCCCCCCCAGCUGUCCGUGAAGCUGUGCUACGACAACAUCGGUCAUCAGCUCGUCGUCAACGUGCUCCAGGCCUCGGACCUGCCGGCGCGGCCAGACGGACGCCCGAGGAACCCCUACGUGAAAAUGUACCUGCUGCCUGACCGCAGUGACAAGAGCAAGCGCAGGAGCAAAACGGUGAAGAAGAGUUUGGCCCCCAGGUGGAACCAGACCUUCCUGUACAGCCAGGUGCAGCACAGGGACCUGCGAGAGCGAACCCUCGAGCUGAGCGUGUGGGACCAGCCACGCGCGCAGGAGGAGGAGAGUCACCCGCUGGGGGAGGUGCUCAUUGAGCUGGAGUUGGCACCACUGGAUGACAGAGCGCACUGGUAUGAGCUGCAGGUGCAUGAUGGGUCCACACCCACAGCCCACCCUCCCAGGGGUGAAGACAGCUACUCUGGAGACAAGGACAUGUCCAGCAUGCUGUCAUCACCUGAGCGGCAGAGAGCUACGCUGCAGCAGAUCGACCAGGGCAGGGGCCCCUGGCGCCCUAUCAGUGGGGCCCCCCACAGUGUGGAGACGCGUCGGAACUCCACCAGGUACAGCAGCACGCUUCCUCCCAAGAUGCCCCUCCUGGUCAACGGCAUCCACAAGGACAUAUACAGCUCCACCCUCCCUGCAUGCCUGCCGACACGGUCGCGCCUGAGGCUCCCCCGCAGCGGCCCGGCUCGGCACCUGGACCGGGACGCGGACGAGGUCGGCUCCAGGGCCCGGAGCUCAAGCACCAGCUGUCUGGCCCCAGAUGAGGGAUUUCCCUCCCCUGAGCAGCAAAGGUGGACUCGGUCGCUACCACGCAGACAGCCUGCAAGCCCCAAAAUGGUGAUGGAGACCGGUCCCCCCAAAGAUGACAGUGUCUCGAGGAUCCAGCCAACCUCCAUACUCAGAGGCAACAGAAGGGCGGCGCCCCUGCGUCCAAUCGGCCAGGCUUCUCUUGGAGGAUCCGCCCCCUGCUCGCCUCGUCCGGACAGAGGUGCAGUGCGCAACAGCCCCUGUACCCCCCCAGACAUGGAGAAACCUCCAGCAGGUCGCAGAGUGAGGCAACUUCCGCAGGUCCCUGUGAAAGGAAGCUGUACAGAGGAAGGUGUGUGUGUGUGUGUGUGUGUGUGUGUGUGUGUGUGUGUGUGUGUGUGCGUGCGUGCGUGUGCGCGCGGGGGGGCGGGAGUCACCUCUUGCGGAUCUGUGCUCCCAGUGGCUGAGGACCGCUCUCGGCAGAGGCCCACGAAAGCCAGUUCCUACCAGUCCCCAAGCGCCAGCAAUACCGCACCCAGCCAGCAGAGGGAGCUGAAGGGCAAGCGACAGGUGAGCGCCAUGCAGGCCGUGUUUCUGCGCGGUAGUGUCUCUCGGGUGUUUGCGGUUCUCACCGCACCAAGCUCUGCUGUGACGGCGCUCGCUGCUCCCUCAGCUCUACGGCGGGCACAGCAGCGGGAGCGUGUCGGACAGCGAGCUCAGCGAUGCGUCAGCCACGUCCCGCCGCAGCAGCGCCUCGCACAUCAGCAGCGGCAGUUACGCCUCGGUGCAGUCGGAGCAGCCGCGGGGUCGAGCCAGGUGCGCGCGCACUGCCCGGUCCGGUCACUCCAACACGCCGCAGACUUGAGCUCUGCACUGCUCGUCGCUGUCAAAGAAGAGUCGCUCUGUUACCGUGGUAACGCCGGUGCUCCGACGGCUCGUCAAAACACAGGUCCAAGUCUCUGGAGAGCUGCAAGGGGGUGGAGCGCAGAGAGAGGAGGAUAUCGUGGGGGGUGGUCGACUGGGAGGAGACGCAGGGCGAGAGGCGCAGGAGCCUCUCCGGCGACUCCAGGAGGAGGCACUCUGUUGCGGGGGACCUCAGGUAAAAGCCCGCCUUCCCGUGGCCCCGCCUCCUCUAACCCCCCGGCUCCCGCUCGGGCCCGCGUGACCCUGGCACGUCUCGAACCCUCCUCCCCACGAACCCGCAGCCGCUCUCCGAGCCGCAGCCUGCUCAAGAGCACCAGCGUUAGCGGUGAAAUCUACGCCCUGGAACAUGGCGACGGCAGCCAGUCGGACCCGGCGCCGAGCAAGAGGGCCAAGCAGCGGCGGGCCAGCCUGGGGGCACGAGUGGCGGCGGUGGUGUCGCGCAGCAGGAGCACAUCGCAGCUCCACCAGGCAGGUGCGUCCAAGCCCCUCCAGAGGGGGGCGCCCUUCAUCGCUGACGCUUUGUCUCCAGCAUCUGUCAGUGUCACCCAGACACACACACACACACACACACACACACACACAUACACACACGCACGCGCGCGCGCAGAACUGCCCAGUCUGUGCUGU